AGAAAGAAAGAAAGAAAGAAAGAAAAGGGAAGUAGGGAGGGGGCAAAGGAAGAAGGAAAGAACACACUAUAUGUCAUGUAACACAUCAGUGGGGUCUGGAUUAACAUCCCAUAAUUAAACACAUUAAUAUUCCUGCAGAACAUAAUGAGUGAAUAUUUACAUACCUGUUCAGGCUAGAUUUUUUUCCACCCUAUGAGUUUUGGUGCUAAUCUUCAAUUAUUUCAUUCAGAAUUUCCUGGAUUCACAAGCGCAAGGAAGACAUUGUAGACACAGGUACGGGUUUGCUGGGUCAUUGUUUAACACACCUCUGGUGUAAGUGCCGCAUAAUUGCUUCUUAAAGACAACUCAGGCUUUUGUGCCCAAGGUCUCCGUGGGUCUGUGAACCUUCGUAGUAGGACCUUUGCACAGCAGCUCUGAGAGGAUACGCUCUUUCCUUCUUUCUCUACCCAGAUCCUCAAUGUAGUAGUUUCUCUCUGUUCCUGUCAAUAUGCUGACAGUGGGUGGUGGUUGGCUGCGGGGUGUUGGGUUAUUAGCGGUGAUUGAUGGUAGUUGGUGGUAGGGUUUUUGGUUGUUGUUGGUGGUGAUGGUUGUUACUGGUGGUGAUGGUGAUGGUUGGUAGUGGUCGCGGUUGGUGGCGCAGUGUUUGGCGAUUAGCAGUGGUUGGUGGUGGUUGGCGGUGGGGUGUUUGGCGAUCCGUGGUGGUUGAUGGUAGGGUGUUGGUGGUGGGUGGUGGGAUGCAAAUUCAAGUCUCCAAGUGCCUUUCUUGGUCUGAGCUGGGGAGCCCGCUGGGCCCAGUGGCCAUGUUGAGGGGUGGGGGUGGUCAUAAGCUGUGGGGAAGUGAGGAACAAGCUGAGCUUCUGGCAAAGCUUCCGUGGAUUCCAGGCCGUGGUCUGGUCUGGGCAGGUAACGGCAAAGCCGAAGGAUUCAUGGCCCUUCCACAGCUGCUGGGCGUCUACAAACACCUCAUGGCAGGCAAGUGUCAGAGGGGACUCUGGGAGGUCCCCAGAUGGGGUAGGACUUGGGCCCUCCAGGAAAUGCAUGCCUUGGCAGGUGCUGGGGUACUAGGGAGUUCUAGUGGCUGCAAGGGGGCAGGGAAGUGUCUCCCCUCCUCCCCCACCCCUGCAGAGCCGCUGGGAGGGGCUCACCCAGACCAUCUCUCCAGACCUCACAGAGCACCCUAUCCCGCUCCUGGCAUUCGCCAACUCCCUCGACACAGGAUUGUAAAUCCUGAUUGUAAAUCAUUUCUUUCUGGAUUGGAUUGUCUGGAAAGGCAAACUGUCUUCUGCUUCUUUGUAGUGGAGGUUUGGCAACGAAGGGCAUCGGCCCUUUCCCAAGAGGGACAGAGAAAGGGAGGGUUGGGGUCAGGCGUCCACACCAGACGCAGGUCUAGCCCCUUGGGGAGGGGCGUAGUUUUGCCUGCUGAGCAUUUCCAAGCCUUCUGCCAACUGGCAUCAUAGAGCAGUUACGGUUCCCCCAUCUUUCCACCUCCUUCACCAUCUGGGGUGCCCCUUCCCUUCCUGGUCACCUUGCUCUCCCUUCACCCCAAAAGGGUGCUAGACUCUGAAGCUCUGCCUCUUUUCCUCACUUUCUACUCAAACCUCCUCUCCGCUCACAAGUGAGAAAGAUCUUGAGAAAAACCUGGAGUACUAGCUAGGAGAACUUCAGUCCAAUACACCGUGACCUUGAGCUGGCCCCUUAUCUUCCAUGUGCCUCAGUGUCCCUGGAUACUGAGUCGGGCAGAUUGAGAUCAGGGAUUAGGGGAGCUAAAAACCCCAGCCAGGCUGAAGGGUGCGACAGCUAGAAAAUUCCAGCUCAUCGCUGCCCCCGGGAAAAGUAAGCCCAGCGCUGCACCCUGCCCCCACCACCUCUGACUUUUCAGAGGAAGCCACAUUAGUCAGCAAAAGCUGCUAUAACAAGCAGCCCAAAGCUCAGGGCUUUACCACUGCAACGGUUUGUAUCCUGCUCCCACCGCAGUCCAGCAUGGGCCAGCCCUGGAUGGGCCCUGCCCCACCCCCUCCUCAGGCCUGGGAGUCCUCCCCAUGCCCCCCCCCCCCCCCCGCCCACGCAGGGUCCUCCCCCUGGAUCUUCUGUCUCUGGUAGCAGGCAGGAAAGAGAGGGUGCAGGGCUGGGAGGGAAGUUUGGGGGCCCAGGCAGGAAGUGGUGCCUAUUACUUCCACCCACCUUCCAUUGGCCGGACUCUUGUCACACGGUCCCGACUACCUGCAAGGGAGGCUGUGUGCCUGGAAGAAAAGGACAUGGGUUUGGUGAAAGCUAGCCCGUCUCUGGCCACAGACUGGAAACCGGGAUCCUGUGUGAAAACUUCUAACCUUUACAGAUAAGCAAAUCAUUCGAACUUCAGAAAGGUAUCGUAUAGAAUAAAGAAAUCCUGCGUGUGAGCUGGGGGUCCCCCAGGCCUGUGACCUGGGGCUGAGGCAGCCUCCUCCUACAGCCGGAGCCGUGAUUCUCCGCGGGGCCAGGCGGCGGCUCUCACCCUCCUGCCUCAAACGGCCGCUGCAGUCCUGCUCCACGCCGGCCCCACGACAGGCAGUGAGGACCUGAGAAUGGCAGAGGAAACCAUGCCUUCCCUGGAGGAGCUCACAGCUGUUUUUAUCUCUGGGUAGAAAAUAGUAUUAAAUUUUUAAAGCGAAAUGUUAGAGUGGUUUGCCAUAGCAGUACAUUUUGGCAGAGGAGUGUUCCUUAAUGGAAAAGAAUGAUUCCCUGAGGGGGAAGUGCCAGGCAUCUCCAUUUCCGGAAGAGCAGUGGGGACAGUCCCCUCCGGGCUCUAGUGCUCCUUGUGGGGACAGGUUCGGGCAAGUGCUUUGUCCUGGCUGAGCCUCAGUCUUCCCCUCUGGGAAAUGGGGAUAAUGGCACCUGUCUUGCAAGGCUGUGGGGAAACAAGAGAAGCCCGUCGAACAGCGGAGCAGGGCCCGUGGAACACUGUAGGCACGCGUCCCACGGUCCCCAGUGGCCACUGUGGUGAGUCAGGGGUGACUGCCUUGGGGGGCAGGCCAUGUGUCAGCCUCCUCCCUAAUUCCCAACCAGCGUUGACAGGGUGUGGCCCUGGACCAGUCCCCGGGCUGGGUGCUGGGGGCAGGUGGUGAGGGAGGUCUGGCCCCACUGAGAGGGCUCAGUCUAGGGGCAGCUGCCUUCUGACUUCUGUGGCGGGCGGGGAGCGGGGUAGGAUCCUAGCCCUCCCCUGACCCCUGGUGGAGGUGAGCCAGCCCUUGCCCUCCAAAGGAGAGGUAGAUGGAGGAACGCAUGCGGAUUCCAGAGUCCCUUGGCUAUAACAAGCAGAUGAGGACAUCAAGGUGCCAAAUGGUGAGGCCAAACUGCUCAAGGCUACGCAGCUGCUAAGGAGUGGCCUGGAGGUUCAGACCCAGGUCCGCACUCCCAGGCACGGCUGGAGGGAGAUUUCCGUGGAGGGGCUCAGAGGACCCGCGCUCCGGGUUCCUGAUCAGCUGUGCAGGAAGGAAGAAGGGAAGCCGGCCAGCGAGGGCUCCGAAAGCAUCUGGCAAGGAGCGUAUCUCUCUGAGGUCCGCAGUUCAUCUGGGAAGCGGGGUUCCUCCCUUUCCUCCUUCCUCCCAGGCUGACUCCCGGUUCUGGCGGUUACCCUCUGGGUGACCCUGGCAGGUCACUUCCACCUUCUGGGCCUGGGAUUCUGCUGUGUACCAGGCACUGCUCAGAGGAGACUAAGGGCGCCAAGUGAGCCAGACAGAUUGGUCUCCCGCCUCCUGGGACAACUAACGGGCUCUGCAGGCCUCCUAGAAGAAGUGAUGCGUGAGUGGAGGUGGACCAGCUGUGCUGCCCUCGCACCCAUGGUGGGGGGAGAGGCAUUUCCUGCCAGGGAGAGGGGGCAGUGGAUUCCCAGGCUUACUGGGAAAGUCACAGAGCUUAAGCCCUGGAACCCCUCACUUGCUGGGCAUCCUCCUAUGACUUGGGAGAGGCCACGCUCACUCAGGAUCACGUGCCGUCCGAGUGGGCCAAAGUAAGCUAUUCUCACUGCCUCUCUCCCCUGCCACUUCCUCCCUGUCCUACAUGCCCUCCCUUUGGACGCUGCUGGAGCUGCUGUGGCAUUUGGGGGACUCUAGCGAAGGGGAAGUUGUCACAGAAUGCGACAUUGAUGAAAAUCUAAAACAAAACUCAAAAUGUAAACAGGAUGUUGGCAACAAGCUGGUUGGUAGAGGCUUCCAUUCAAAUGCUGUUUAAGUUUCGUAAAUCAAGGAAACAUAAAAAGUCUUGUGACUGUCUAUAUAAGAUCCUCGAUCCGGAUCGAAGUUUUUCUAAAUAGGACAGUAAUCCUAAAGCCUUUCACGCUACCAGUAAUGAGUUAUGAAGUUGAAAGAAACCUUUUGAAACUAUUAACAAUGGUGGGGGGAGUGUUGGGUCCACUGUGCUGGAGAAAAUUGAGAUAUCUUCUUAUUCUCUCUAAAGAAAAUGACAGUACUAAAUCAAUGUCAAGUGAAGAGGUUAUCCCAAAAGUACAUGACCCAAAUGUAGGAAUAAAAGUAUUAUGGAAGCAUAUAAGGGGGUUAAUAUAAGUAUAAUAUUGUUUUUCUGGACACUGUAUUGUGUUUGUCUGCUUUUUAUAUGUUGUGGUUUUGUUUCUCAUUCAAAAUACUCACAUUUUUAUCUGA